rnacentral:piRNA from 1 species
UACCGGAGUGGCAAAAAAGUAGGUGU